rnacentral:tRNA from 1 species
GUCAGGAUGGCCGAGUGGUCUAAGGCGCCAGACUCAAGAGUAAUCUCUUCGCUCAGUGUUGAGUGUUCUGGUCUCCGAAUGGAGGCGUGGGUUCAAAUCCCACUUCUGACA